GUUUUUCCCUGUUGUGUCUGACUGGAGUGGAGUGGUUCUGGUCUAAAAGUCCUCUGUCUUGCUGGGCUACUCAUUUCCUGUUCCUUGGCUAAAGAGAACAGUCUUUUGUUGUGGCUUUUUUUGCCUGUGCUCAUUGGCAUUUCUAGGUUAUCAUCUUCCUUAUUCCCCAGUCUGGAAUAGCUGCGGCAAAAAGAAAGCCCAGGAACCCAGGGAACUCACCACUGUUUUGUUCCAUGGUCCCUAAGUCCCAGCCAAUCUACCUUCUUCUCUUCCCUUUAAAGCCUUUCUGCCUUUGUUUUAUAUAUAAUGUCUAAAGUUUUCCAUUGUACUUAGAGGGAAAAAAUAGGAAAACGUGUAUGUACUACACCUUCUUUGAAGCAGAAUCACUCAUUUGGUUUUUAGGGAGUUAUUCUCAAAUUUUAUUGUGAAAAAUAGUAUGUUCCAGGAAGCAAUAUUUUUGUCCCAGGUUUAAAAGAAUUAAACACUGACUUCUGUUUUCUUUUCUUUCUUUUCUUUUUUCUUUUUUGUGUUUUUAGCACAGGGUUUCACUAUAUUGCCCAGGCUGGUCUUGAACCCCUGGGCCCAGGCAAUUCUCCCACCUUAACCUCCCAAAGUGCUAGAAUUACAAGAAUGAGACCCCAUGCCCUGCGGAGGCUUCUGUUUUAAAAGCAAAUAGUUAAUUCCCAGUUUACUAAUCUUUCUUUUUCUCUAAUAAAGCUUUCAUAUUGAGUUUUCUUUAAGUAUUAUAUACUUGUACCCAAAAAGAAAGUCCUCUCAACAACAAUAUAUUAUAGGAGGUCACUUAACAACUGCAUAAUCAUUCCCCGAGAAGGUUCUUUAAAAUUAGUUUGACCAUUGUGGAAAACAGUGUAGUGAUUCCUCAAAGACCUAAAGACAGAAAUACCAUUUGACCCAGCAAUCCCAUUAGAAUAUCCAAAAUAAUAUAAAUUGUUCUACCAUAAAGACACAUGCAUGUGUUUGUUCACUGCAGCACUAUUUACAAUAGAAAAGACAUGGAAUCAACCUAAAUGCCCAUCAGUGAUAGACUGGAUAAAGAAAAUAUGGUGCAUAUAUACCUUGCAAUACUAUGCAUCCAUAAAAAAGAAACAAGAUCAUGUUCUUUGCAGGAACAUGGAUGGAGCUGGAGGCCUUUUUCCUUAGCAAAAUAACACAGGAACAGAAAACCAAAUGCUGCAUGGUCUCACUUAUAAGUAGAAGCUAAACGAUUAGAACACAUGGACACGUAGAGGGGGACAACAGACACUGGGGCCUAUCAGAGGAUGGAGGGUGGGAGGAGGGAGAGGAUUAGGAAAAAUAACUAAUGAUUACUAGGUUUAAUACCUGGGUGAUGAAAUAAUCUGUACAACAAACCCCCGUGACAUGAGUUUACCUAUAUAACAAACCUGCACAUGUGCUCCUGAACUUAAAAUAAAAGUUAUUAUAAUAAUAUUAAUAAUAAUAAAACAACUAUUGGUAAAAUUAAAAAAAAAUUUUUAUGUGAUAACUGUUGUUCAGACAUGGGAUCUUCCCCAGAUGAAGUAGCAUGUUCCAACAACAGCAGAUUCUAGAUGAGAUUCUAGGUGGCCAGGAAAUACAAGAUGAUAUUUCUAUUAAGACACAAAAUUGUUCUAUAGUGGAACAUCAGCCCCUCUGAUUUCCCCAAGUGGACUGUCCACUGGCUGCUAUAUUACCUACAGUGUCAGUAAGCUCUUUUCCCAUUUCUUUCAACAACAGAGCUUAUCAGUCCAACCUUGUCUUAAUUACUUGCUACCAAGUUUUCACACCUAGAGGCACAACUAUGUACUAACGAAACUUUGGGGUCAGAUGAAUUCAAAUUUGAAUUGUAUGACUGGUCUCACUCCCACUCUUGUGGCUAGAGAUGGGCUAGAUCCUGUGACUGAGCAAAAGGAGAGAGAGAGGGAAGUGGUUUCUCUCAAAGAGUGCUGAGCAGAUAAACACAAGCCCAUUCUGUACUAGAUCAGGAGAGAGAAUGUUGGUUCAAAUCUAAGAUGCAGAGCAGGUUGGUUAAGGACUAAGUUAGCUGAUCAUUUCCUAAGACAAGACUAGGACUAGCAGCAAAGGUGGUAUGGAUACUAUCAAGAUGAGAGGAGAAGUGGACAAACUGAAAACUAGUUCAAGGUCUAACUUUACAAACAUGACCUACUCACUGUGGCAUCCCUCUUAUGCUUAGCCCGAUGUGCUUUGGUAGAGGAAGCACCACCCAUAUGAGUCUGCAUUUGCCAAUGGUGCCUUAGAAGAAAGGGAAAGAACUGGAGCAGGUCAGCAAGUCCCAUGCUAAUGGGAUUCAUGUCAAGCUGGGUCAAGUUGGGGUGUAGAUCUCUCAUUGAGAGCUAAAGCAUGGCGCUAAAAUAAGGGAAAGCAGAGCCAUUGAAAACAAUCAAAUCUGAAGAAACCAGAGGAUGGAGAUGGAGGCUGUAGAACAAGGUGGGAAUGGAAGCUGGUGGAGAACAAUAAGGUCCUGCUGAGGAUCCCUGGUGCCCAGCAGGGAACACCGUGAGGAGGAGGAUUAAGAAAGGCACCCUUUCCACUGAUUUGCAUCGCCAUUUGUACAUGGAGUUUUGGCUACAGCAAAAUCCGUUGCUAUCUCACCAGCUACAAGAAGCAAAGAAAGAAUUGCAAUUCAUUUUUGUGCUCUAGGACCUGGUUGAAGCUUCUCUGCUCUUCCAUGGGUGCUUUCUGUGGCUGGGAUUCCCUCAGGUGAGUCCCGGGAGCCUGAGUGGUGACACAAAAGCUGAGGAAGAUAGAAAACCUGGGAGGUAUUUCAAGAGCUUCUUCCCCCACACUCUUCUUCAUCUCCUCCUGCAAUCUAGUUUCAGGACUAAAGAUCCACGGUGGAAAAAGAUUCAGAUUGCUGCCUUCCAGGGCCCCAGACAGCCAAUUUUUGUCUUCGCACAAGCCAUAAAAUCCUGUAUGGUUUUUAUUAACCUCCCAGCAGGGGCCCUGCUCAUUUGAUGAUUCAUUAUAAGGGGAAUGGAAAUCGUUAGAAAAGAUUUUCAGCUAAUGGGUAAAAUGAGUGGGGCAGCUCCUAGCCAGGCUGCUGCUGCCUCAGAGUUCACUUUCUUUCAGUGGUCAGUCUCUGGCUCAGUGUGGAAAGGACAACCUGCUUGCCUAGAGACCAAGCUCUCUUCUGGGGAGCAGAAUACCCUGGGCUGGACUAGCAUAAGCAGGCUGAGGGUGCUUGGAGAGCCAGUAGAGGCAUGAAGAAGCUUGUCUUCUAGGUUGCUAGUUCAAAUCUCAGCCUAGCUGAGGACAGGGAGAGGAGAUGUUCACUGAGGAUGUAUGCUUGUUUCCCUCACAGAAUGGUUGGUCUCCAGUGAGGUUCAAUUUCUAGGACAUGGUGUUGCCUCAUUUAUCCUCACACCUUAUGGAAUCAGCUAUCCGGGACAAGGCAAAAUGGGGCCAAUUCCUUCACCAUGAGGAUAUUCUCUUCCUGCAGCGGAAGCAGGAUUUAGGGCAGGGCUGAUCUCAGAGGACCAAGGCCCGGAUGACUUCUCUUUUCUGUCUAUAUCCUCUCCCAAGGUGAUCUCAUCCAAUCCCAUGGCUUUAAACACCAACACCCAAAUUUAUAUCUUCAGUCCUGACUUCUGCUUUUCAACUUCAGCUUCAUUAUCUACAAUUGCUUCCUUAUCAUCUCCAUUUGGAUAUCUAAACAUGUGCAAACAGCCUUCUGGAACCUUCUACUCACACCUAUUCUACCCACAUCUCAAGAACGUCCUUCUUCUAGUUGCUCAGGCCAAAAACCUUGACUCCUCCGUUUGUCUCACAACCCACCUCCAAAGUGAGUCAUUUGUCACUACCAUGAAACACAUCCAGCUCUCUGCCAUCUCCACUGCUAUCCCCUGGUCCAAGGCACUGCCAUGUCGCCUUUGUCACUGUCAUGGCUUCCUAGCUGGCCUUCUUGCUUCUGCCCCACCUGUCUUCUGUCUAUUGACACCCAGCAGCCUGGGUGACUCUUAACAUUUAGGUCAGGUCAUGUCACUCCUUCCAUUCAGAACCCUCCAGCACCUCUCAUCUAACACAAAGGAAAAGCCAAAGUCCUUACAAUGGCCACAGAGGCUCUGAUGAUCUGCCCUGGCCCUUCCCUGUCUGACUUCAUCUCCCAUGGCUCUCAGCUUUGCUUAUUCCCCUUCUGCCACUUUGACCUCCUAGCUGUUUUCACCUCAGUUUCUCUUCAAGGGAGUUCCCUCCCGGAUAUUCAUGUGGUCACUCGGUCUUUUCCUUCAGGUCCCUUGCCUUUGGGUGAGACCUUCCCUGACCCUCUUCCAUACAACAGCAAAAUCAUACCUCUGGAACUGGUCAUCCCAUCACUGCAGCAUAAAGAAUUCUCUGUGGCAUUUCCUCAUCGUUCAUGUAUGCUUUUAUUCUUUUUUGUGAUGGUCAGUCAAGUGUGGCCAUAAGAGGAGACACAAGAGAGGUUCAGGGAAACAAAGUUUAUUUACUCACAGGUCCUAGAGACAGGAGACACACCUCUUCAUGGAGGACCACAUGGGGAAGCCCUGGGGCAGUCAGGAGGCAGAGGAUGGAAGAAGGAGAAAUGCACUAGGCCAGAGCCUUUUGGGGGCUUUCCAUGGGAAAGGCAAGCAAGGGGGGUAAACUGUUCAGAAUUGGCUAGUGUGACUCUUUCCAGCAGGCUUUAAACUCUAGGGGUGGUGCCUAGUUGCCUGAUACCUGGCUCUGGGAUGAUUAAGGCAGAUGGAUAUUGCCUCUUGGGGGUACAUGGGCAAAAUCAAUGAGCUAUAGCUCUGGAUUCAUUAGUUUUCAUAUCAAAAGCUUAUGUCAGAUGAGCAUUUUGCUACCCCUUAAAAAUCAGCUAGGCCUAGGAGGGACAGUCUCUCCCCAGCUAGAACAGUUUUUAAAGAUGUCAAAGCAUCAUAAUAUAUAAAAAAUUAAAAAUACUUACAAUACAGUGUAUUCUCCAUCUCUACCACAAUGUAAGUUCCAUGAGAACAGGGACUUUUUCUGUUUUGUUCACUGUUCUAUCUGCAGUGCCUAGAAUAGUGCCUGACAUACAAUAGUUGCUUAAUAAAUAUUUGUCAAGUGAAUGAAUGAAUGAAUGAAUGGAUUUCUAAUCUCCCCCCACCCUCUGAUCCCAGGAGCACUACUGUUUCUGGAGCCACCAUUUCAGCUUCCUUAAAAAUGAAGGGAGGGCGAGGUUUGAUAGUUUUAUUUGAAGGUAGAGCUUUUAAUGACCUUAUAAGGACAACAUUAAACUUAAAAAACAUCUAUCAAGAUCCAUUAAUUUUUUUUUCCAUUUUGCCUGACUCAUUUGAUGAGAACAACAAGUUCACAUGCAGUGAGGAAUUCAGAUGUAGGAAGGGUGUCAGAAGCAGGGCGGGAGAAACAUUUUAUUGUUUAGUGAAAUACGGGUCACCCUCUCCUGUUUCAUUUUUUCAGAUAAAUCUUUUUUUCUUUUCUUUUUUAAAGUAGAGAAUACAUACAGAAAAGUCCACAAACCUUAAGUGAAUUACUGAUGAAUUGUUGCAAAGUAAACACACCCAUAGAAACACCACUUAAGUCAACAAACAGAACAUUGUCAACACCCAGAGCACUCCCUGUGCCUGUUAUGGAAUCAGAUGACAUGUAUUCUUCUGUAACUAGCUUCUUUCAUUCUACAUGAUAUUUAUGAGAUUCAUCAAUGUCAUGCGUAGCAGUGGUUAAUUUAUUUUCAUUGUGUACAGUAUACCAUUUUAUGAAUAUACCACAGUUUACCUGUUCUAUUCUUGAUGAACUUUGGGUUGUUUCUUUCUGGGGCUCUUAUGAAUAAUGCUGCAAUGAAUAUUUUUGUGCAUGUCUUUGAUGAACACAAGCUCUCAUUUCUGACAGAUAUAUACCAGGAAUGGAUUUGAAAGGUUUUGUACAGACUACAUUUAGGUUUAGUAGAUAUGCCAAACUUUUCCCUAAAUGAUUGUUUUAUUCUAAGUUCUCACCAAUGAGAGUUCCAGUUGUUCCACAUUCUUACCACCAUGUAGUAUCAUCUGAAAUUUUAAUUAUUUUCAUUCUUGUGGGUGUAUAGUGAUACCUCAAUAUGAUUUUCAUUUGUAUUUCCCUGAUGACUAGUGAGAUUGAGCACCUUUACAGGUGUUCAUUGGCCAUUCUAUUUCUAUGAGGUGCCUGCUCAAGUCUUUUGCCUGAUUUAUUUUCAAUUAGGCUGCCUGUCUCCUUUUUUUUUUGUAGAAUUAUUUAAUUUCUUAAUUUUUUAAUUAGAGACGGGGUCUCACUAUGUUGACUAGACUGGUAUCAAACUACUGAGCCCAAGUAAUCAUCUCACCUUAGCCUCUCAAAGUACUGGGAUUACAGGUGUGAGCCACCUCACCUGGCCUAAGAGUUCUUUAUAUAUUCUGAAUGUGAAUCCUCUAUCAGUUAUAUGUAUAGCGAAUCUCUUUUCUCACUCCAUGACAUCUUUUAAAACAUCUUCUUAAUGGUAUCUUUUGAAGAACCAACAUUUUUAAUUUUAUGGAAUUUAAUUUAUAAAUAUUCUUCUUUAUAAUUAGUACUUUUUUUGUGUCCUUUUUAACAGUAUUUGCCUACCCUUAGGCCAAGAAGCUAUUCUCCUAUAUUAGCUUCUAGAAGCUUUCAUAUUUAAAACUGCAGACCAAAUAAAAUUGAUUUUCUUUUUUGGUAUGGUGUGAGGCAGGGGUUGAGUUUCAUUCUUAUUUCCACUCAGAUAUCCAUUUGACUUAGCACCAUCUGUUGAUUAAGACCUACUACUCUGAGGUGCCACCUUUUUCAUAAAUUAAGUGCUUGUAUAUGGCAUGAGUCUGUUUCUGGGCUCUCUAUUCUGUUCCAUUGUUGCAUUGUUCUUUGUUUGUUGUGCUGAUGCCACAUGGUCUUCAUUACUGUAGCUUUACAAUAGAUCUUGAUGUGUGGUCAAGUACAUCCUCCAACUUUGUUCUUCUUUGAUGUGAGCUUAGCUAUCCUUGGCUCUUUUUUUCACUACCUUACUUUUACGUAGGAUAGAAAGCAUUUUUUUUUUUCUUUUUGAGACAGAGUUUCACUCUUGUUGCCCAGGCUGGAGGGCAAUGGCACGAUCUCAGCUCACCGCAACAAAUGCCUCCCCAGUUCAAGCAAUUCUCCUGCCUCAGCUUCCCGAGUAGCUGGAAUUACAGACGCCUGCCACAAUGCCCAGCUAAUUUUUGUAUUGGUAAGAGAGAUAGAGUUUCACCAUGUUGGUCAGGCUGGUCUUGACCACUCCUGACUCCUGACCUCAGGCGAUCCACCUGCCUCGACCACCCAAAGUGCGAAGAUUACAGGCGUGUGCCACUACGCCUGGCAGAAAGCAUCUUUAAAGGUAAAGUGUCUUCUCAUUUUGAGGUGCCCUCACAUCCACCUAGACUACCAUCUGUGGACGUCAUAAAGUCAUAUCCCCACACUUCGUUCUACAAGUGGCUCCUAGCAUAGGCCUCACUGCCAUUCCAGGCAGUGCCUGGUACCUGGUUCUUCUCAUCCUUCCUGCUUUACCUCCACUGGCACUUUCCUGUGUGCAGCAGAUUUAUGCACCACAAUACUCUGCAAGUUUCAGCUACUGAUACUACCUCUAGUAUUUCUAGUAAUAAAUAAAAUAUAUUGUGUUCUGACUGUGUCAGGCAUUGUGUUAAGUGCUGUGCCUGAAUUACCUUAUUUAAUCCUGACUACCACCCUAGGAAGUAAAUAUCCUUUGCCUGCCCCUUAAGGAUUUACACUAUCCUCUCAAGGAUCCUGAUUUUCCCACCCAUUUUUUUCCUUCUCUGUUAGUUUCAAUGUUUCCAUAGAAUAUAACUUUUCUGAGCUAGAAAGGACUUGAGAGACAUUUGAUUUGACAAAUGAGGAAAUGAAGGCCCAGAGAGAGGAUGCAUUUACCUCAGGCCUCCUCAGCUCAUGAUUGGCAGAAAAAGGAUUAGAAUUCAAGUCUCUUGACUACAGGACAAUGUGCUUCUCUCACACACACUUCCCAGGUUCAGCACCCGGCAGACAGACUAGUCUCCUCCUACCCAAUUUACUUCCUUCCUGUUUCCACUUAAAUUUCUUCAGUCUUGUCUAUGAUGAUAGCUACUUCUACUUCCUCAUCUCCUGUUGUCUCUUUGACCUCUCCAAUCUUACUUCCUCACUGCAACUGCUCUCACUGAGACCACCCAUGACUUCCAUGUCACACAGCCCUGUGGCCUCCCCUCUCUCUCAUCUUCCUUAACCUCUCAGCUAGCCUCAACCCACGUGAUUGUUCCCCUCUUUCUUUCUUUUUUUUUAUUAUACUUUAAGUUCUAGGGUACAUGUGCCUCACAAACAUGGUUGAAAGUGAUUGAGGAGCAAAGUAACAUCUUACAUAGUGGCAGGCAAGAGAGCUUGUGCAGGGGAACUCUCAUUUAUAAAGCCAUCAGAUCUCAUGAGACUUAUUCACUACCAUGAGAACAGUAUAGGGAAACCACCACCACGAUUCAAUUAUCUCCACCUGGUCUCAACCUUGACAUGUGGGGAUUAUUACAAUUCAAGGUGAUAUUUGGGUGGGAACACAGCCAAACCAUACUGAUAGCUCCAAUCCUGACUUUGCUCUUGAGUUCUAGGCUUUGAACUUCUUACUUGAUAUCUUUGUUUGGAUGUUGUCGUAAUUGGGUUUUCUAUAAAACAAAGCCUGAAGCAAGAAUUAAGGUGCCAACAGUUUAAUUGAGAGGUGCAAGUUCAAGGUAUUGCAUGUAGGAGUAAAAGGGAGGGGAGGUCAGGGAAGGUACAUAAUACAUGUAUUGUGAUAUGACGAAUAAUAUGAUGUGGUAAGCCACUUACCAUUUUGGCUACCACUUCACAGGGAGCUGCAAAGAGACCCAGCAGGUCACUCGGAAGUUGUGUUCACGCAGCAUGUGGGACUUCUUCAGAAGAGUUACUGGAAGAUAUUGAGAAGGGAAUGAAGAAUGUAGCUGGCUGGCUCCCUUUUGGAUCCCAUUGUCCUUUGGGAUUUACCCUUGAAGAGCUAACUCUAUACUUCCAGUAUGCAUAAUCAUUAUCAUAAUAUUUAUUCCUUUACUAUGCAUGAAGCCACCUCGUUGUGUGAUGUUUUCUUCAAGUCUGAAAGUGAAAAAGUGACCCAGAGCUGAUAGAGGCCUGGCCAGGAGAGAGAGAAAGAAUGAGGCUAUAUAAUGUUUGUGGCUCAAUGCAGAUGUCUAUUAGACAUUUCAAACUGAACGUGACUAAACAGAACUCAACUUCCUUCUCCCAGCUGAACUGAUUCCCUCCUCCCUGAUAGUGUUUCUCAUCUCAGAAAAUGGCACCCUUUUCUCCAUUGCUGAACCUGGGUCAAUGGAACUAUCAACUCGGGAGGAAGCCCCUGAAAUAGCCUGUGAGCCGGUCCCCUCAUUACCUUCUUGUUUCCUUUCUACGUAUUCGUCACAUAAAAAGAGUGAACUUUUAUUUUUAUUUUUUUAAGACAGGGUCUCUCUCUGUCACCCAGGCUGGAGUACACUGGUGCAUUCACAGUUCACUAUAGUCUCAACCUUCCAGGCUCAAGUGAUCCUCCCACCUCAGCCUCCUAAGAAGCUGGGACUAUAGGCAUGUGCCACCAUGACUGGCUAAUUUCUGGAUUUUUAGUAGAGACAGGGUUUUGCCAUGUUGCCCAGGCUGGUCUCAAACUCCUGGGCUCAAGUGAUCCACCCACCUUGGCCUCCCAAAGUGCUGGGAUUACAGGCAUGAGCUAUCACUUGGGGCCAAGAGUGACCUUUUAAAAGGAAUGCAGGAAUGUUUUCUUUAGCUUUGGUGCUCUGUCCCAUUAUGUAGCCCUGAAAUCAAAUCACUAAGAAAGGCUUUCCCUGACUCCACUAUUGAAAAAGCCUUCCCUCCCAUGACACUCUGCAUUACCCUGUUUUAUUUCAUUCUUAGUACUUACCACUCUCUGAAAUUCCCUUUUUAUGUAUGUGUAAUGUAUUGUCUGUCUCUCCCACUAUAAUGUAAGCUCCAUUUAGGUACAGAGGGUCUAUUAUCUGUCUCCCUGUAUCCACAGCACCUAGUAUAGUCCUGGGUACAUAGGAGGGCCUCUAUAAGUGUUUGCUGAAUGAAUAAGUGAUAGGAUGAACUGUAGGUGAACUGAGAGACUAACUGUGUGGCAAGGGAUAUAUAUGUUUGCCUGAAUUUUCAUCUGGUUAGGUCGUUCUACAACUAAAAAGUCUUUGAGAGCAGGGAAUAUGGGCAAAUUGAAGGGUAUUAUUUAGGUCCUGCUAGAGUUCAAAGUGAGCUUAGGGAUCAGUUAACAGCCUUUCUCCUGCCCCCAAUUUUUAAAAUUAGACUUUUAAAAUUGAGAUAAUUAUAGAUUCACAUCUAAUUUAAGAAAUCAUACAGGAAUUCCUUGUACUCUUCUCCAGUUUCCCCUAGUGGUGUAUUUGGUAAAAAAAAAAAAAUGAAGUAAUAUCACAACCAAGAUGUUGACAUUGAUACAAUAAAAUACAGUGCAUUCCUUCACUGUAAGGAUUCUUCAUGUUUUCUUUUUAUAGCCACACCCACCUCCCUCCUGACACUACCUCCUUAACCCCUGGCAAGUCCUAACCUGUUCUUCAGUUCUACUAUUUUCUUAUUUCAAAAACCUUAUGUAACUGUUUGAGAUUGGCCUUUUUCACUUAGCACAGUUCUCUGGAGAUUCACGCAGGUGUUUGCAUGCAUCAAUAAUUCAUUCCUUCUUAUUGAUGAGUAGUAUUCCACAGCAUGAAUGUGUCACAGCUUGUUUAAGCAUUUGCCCAUUGAAGGACAUAUGAGUCAUUUCCAGGUCUUGGCUAUUUUGAAUAAAGCUGCUAUACAUAUUCAA